CCUACGGGUGGCAGCAGUGAGGAAUAUUGGUCAAUGGACGAGAGUCUGAACCAGCCAAGUAGCGUGAAGGAUGACUGCCCUAUGGGUUGUAAACUUCUUUUAUAUGGGAAUAAAAUGCUCCACGUGUGGGGUUUUGUAUGUACCAUAUGACUAAGGAUCGGCUAACUCCGUGCCAGCAGCCGCGGUAAUACGGAGGAUCCGAGCGUUAUCCGGAUUUAUUGGGUUUAAAGGGAGCGUAGGUGGAUUGUUAAGUCAGUUGGUAAAGUAUGCGGCUCAACCGUAAAAUUGCAGUUGAAACUGGCAGUCUUGAGUACAGUAGAGGUGGGCGGAAUGCGUGGUGUAGCGGUGAAAUGCUUAGAUAUCACGAAGAACUCCGAUUGCGAAGGCAGUUCACUGGACUGCAACUGACACUGAGGCUCGAAAGUGUGGGUAUCAAACAGGAUUAGAUACCCCAGUAGUC
rnacentral:rRNA from 1 species